UUCCUCUUUGUUUUGUAAGUGGUCAUUGAGAGACGAAGCUCAGGUUCUGUGUGAGUUUUCCAGGUGUAUUUUGAAGUUGCUACCCAGCAGAUUAUGCUGAGCAGGAGAAGAAGACAGGAAGAAAAGAUUAUCCCCCAGAUACCUGGGAUUUGCUGAGCCUGACAAGAAAAAAUAUUAGCAUUUCCUUGAAAUGAACACAGGAAAGGGACACAGAGUUUUACUUUAAAACGUGAUUCUUUUUUAAAAUAGGAAGUAAUGAGAAUAUUUGCCAGAUUAAGCUGCCACCAUAACCAGGUCUGAAAAGAAACCAAGGGAUCUGGAAUGCGAAAGUGGAAAGCAAAGAAAGAAUCAUGGUGUUUUGACUUUGGAUUAAAGGAUGGAAACAUUCACAAUUAAGACUAUCCCAGAGCAAAUUAAGAAGAUAAUGAGAAGAUGGAAGUCAUAGUUCCUUUUGAAGAAGAGUUUCUCAGCAGUGACGUGAGUUUUCCAGGACAUGGGAACAACCUAACAACAACACCAAAAACAGAGAGUGCUGGAAGCUAACUAUGUGGAGCAGUUAAGAUGCCAGGUCUUGCAAUCGAGUAGACUUGAAUUUGAAUCCAAGAUUUUUCAUUUAACUGGUUUACUUAGAUCCUCUGAGCUUCAGUUCCAUCAUCUACGAUACAAAGAUGAUAAUGCCUGCCUCGUAUAGUAGUUGAGAAGAGUAAAGAAGAGCAAGUCUAGAGAACAUUUAGCACAUAGUAAGUGCUCAUUACAAAAAGGGAGGUUGGGGUGGUGGUGGUGACCAGAGCGGUGGCUCUUAACUUUAUCUGAUUCCAGCC
rnacentral:lncRNA from 1 species